rnacentral:lncRNA from 1 species
AAAAGAACAGGUUCAACCCACCAUUUUUUCAUAAAAUGCCCUUUACCAAGUCAGGAAAAUGGUCAUUGUUACAUUAUAGUUCGUUUCUGUGUGUGUUACGUUUCGGUGUUGUGUCUCUGUUGUGUCGUAGUUCUCAUAUGUUUGAUACGUUUCCCUCAGAUUUAGUUUGUAACCCGGAUUUUUAUUUUCUAUCGAUUUAUGAAUUUUGAACAGCGGUAUACUACUGUUGCCUUUAUUUAUGGUAACGAUAAUUG